UACGUAGGGUGCGAGCGUUGUCCGGAAUUACUGGGCGUAAAGAGCUCGUAGGUGGUUUGUCGCGUUGUCCGUGAAAACUCACAACUCAAUUGUGGGCGUGCGGGCGAUACGGGCAGACUGGAGUACUGCAGGGGAGACUGGAAUUCCUGGUGUAGCGGUGGAAUGCGCAGAUAUCAGGAGGAACACCGGUGGCGGAGGCGGGUCUCUGGGCAGUAACUGACGCUGAGGAGCGAAAGCGUGGGGAGCGAGCAGG
rnacentral:rRNA from 1 species